GGGCCCGCACAAGCGGUGGAGUAUGUGGUUUAAUUCGAUGCAACGCGAAGAACCUUACCAGGGUUUGACAUCCUGCGAAUCUCUUGGAAACAGGAGAGUGCCUUCGGGAACGCAGUGACAGGUGGUGCAUGGCUGUCGUCAGCUCGUGUCGUGAGAUGUUGGGUUAAGUCCCGCAACGAGCGCAACCCACGUCUUUAGUUGCCAGCAUUUAGUUGGGCACUCUAGAGAAACUGCCAGCGUAAGCUGUGAGGAAGGUGGGGAUGACGUCAAAUCAUCACGGCCCUUACAUCCUGGGCCACACACGUGCUACAAUGCUACGGACAAAGGGCAGCAAGUUCGCGAGGACAAGCAAAUCCCAUAAACCGUGGCUCAGUUCAGAUCGUAGGCUGCAACUCGCCUACGUGAAGGAGGAAUCGCUAGUAAUCG
rnacentral:rRNA from 1 species